rnacentral:rRNA from 1 species
AGUGAACGCUGGCGGUAGACCUAACACAUGCAAGUCGAACGGCAGCACAGUAAGAGCUUGCUCUUACGGGUGGCGAGUGGCGGACGGGUGAGCAAUACUCGGAAUCUACUUUUUCGUGGGGGAUAACGUAGGGAAACUUACGCUAAUACCGCAUACGACCUACGGGUGAAAGCAGGGGAUCUUCGGACCUUGCGCGAUUGAAUGAGCCGAUGUCGGAUUAGCUAGUUGGCGGGGUAAAGGCCCACCAAGGCGACGAUCCGUAGCUGGUCUGAGAGGAUGAUCAGCCACACUGGAACUGAGACACGGUCCAGACUCCUACGGGAGGCAGCAGUGGGGAAUAUUGGACAAUGGGCGCAAGCCUGAUCCAGCCAUACCGCGUGGGUGAAGAAGGCCUUCGGGUUGUAAAGCCCUUUUGUUGGGAAAGAAAAGCAGCAGGUUAAUACCCCGCUGUUCUGACGGUACCCAAAGAAUAAGCACCGGCUAACUUCGUG